rnacentral:tRNA from 1 species
GCAAUGGUGGCUCAGUGGUAGAGUUCCCAUCUUUCAUGUGGGGGACCCAGGUUCGAGUCUGGCCGGUGCA